rnacentral:rRNA from 1 species
UACGAAGGGGGCUAGCGUUGCUCGGAAUCACUGGGCGUAAAGGGCGCGUAGGCGGCCAGAUUAGUCAGGCGUGAAAGCCCUGGGCUCAACCUGGGGACUGCGCUUGAGACGGUAUGGCUUGAGGGUGGAAGAGGCUCGCGGAAUUCCCAGUGUAGAGGUGAAAUGCGUAGAUAUUGGGAGGAACACCAGUGGCGAAGGCGGCUCACUGGACCGGAACUGACGCUGAGGCGCGAAAGCGUGGGGAGCAAACGGG